GACAAUGCUCACACUUUAUCAGAUGACCAACAAUAGGCCGAACUGCAGUGGACACAACUUGACAUGAAUUGAAGAGCUAAAAAUGUGUAGCUACUAGGUUACAAUGAGCACUGGGGUUCGUGAUAAAAAUGGAAUUUGGAUCCAGUCUCUGAUCGGGAAAGACUUGGAUCAAGCUAUAGCAAAGACAACAGUAUAGAGAAUGUAUCGCAACAUUAGCUAUUCCUCUUAAAAACAAGUUGCUAGCUAACACGAGAUGCAGCUAACCGCAACAGCGGUUUUGUCUGUACUGCCAAACACAUUUGCACUCAGUGUGUGAAUUCAUAUUUGCUGAAUUCUAUGCGUAUUAGAUAUAAAAACGUUGUUUGAAGAUGAUAGCAACUAACUAAAUGUUAAUAUGCAACAGCAGAACCACAUAUUUGAUGUGAAAGGCCUCUGGCCAUAGUUGGCUUGCGAAGCUAAUUUAAUGGCGGCAUCUAGCUGCAUGUUUUCAUGAUGAGAUUAUACAUUAUGCUACAAAAAAAUGGACUUCUAUUAAAAACAAUAUAUAGUUGUAAUUUGUAACGUUAGUUAUUUUAGUUUCGAAACGACGUUUUACCGAGGUUAAGGGGCUGUGUUUAUUUGUCCUUACCUGCGCAGGGGGGGUGACGCUAUAGCGAGCCAAGGAGUAUGCGCCCUAAACCACGUGGGAGGGUCAGACGCGUCGUUCCAUUUCUGACGUUCAACAUGUAAACAAACACACUCCGCAGCCAUUCCUUCUCACGGUCUAAGAAGAGUUCAGCCUGACACUUCCAGCUUUGAAACUUCACCUCUGAUAUAGCUAACUUGUCUUGGUUACAGCCAAAAUGAAAGACCCAAGUCGCAUCAACAACACCCUGAGCCUCAGCAGCAUAGAAUUGAUCCUACAUGGACAGUUCAUCAAUGAUGACAAUCCCUUUGUUGAAUACAUGUGGAUGGAGAACGAGGAGGAAUUC